rnacentral:rRNA from 1 species
AUUGAACGCUGGCGGCAGGCCUAACACAUGCAAGUCGAGCGAGCGGCGGACGGGUGUGUAAUGUAUGGGAAUCUGCCCGUGAGAGGGGGAUAACCAGGGGAAACUGUGUCUUACACCGUAUUCUAUCGGAUGAACACAUAUGGGAUUCGCUAGUAUGUGGGGUAAAGGCUCACCGAGGCGACGAUCUCUAGCUGGUCUGAGAGGAUGAUCAGCCACACUGGAACUGAGACACGGCCCAGACUCAUACGUGAGGCAGCAGUGGGGAAUAUUGCACAAUGGGCGCAAGCCUGAUGCAGCCAUGCCGCGUGUAUGAAGAAGGCCUUAGGGUUGUAAAGUACUUUCAGCGGGGAGGCGUUACCCGCAGAAGAAGCACCGGCUAACUCCGUGCCAGCAGCCGCGGUAAUAC